rnacentral:rRNA from 1 species
CCUACGGGAGGCAGCAGUGGGGAAUAUUGCACAAUGGGCGCAAGCCUGAUGCAGCCAUGCCGCGUGUGUGAAGAAGGCCUUCGGGUUGUAAAGCACUUUCAGCGGGGAGGAAGGCGUUAAGGUUAAUAACCUUGUCGAUUGACGUUACCCGCAGAAGAAGCACCGGCUAACUCCGUGCCAGCAGCCGCGGUAAUACGGAGGGUGCAAGCGUUAAUCGGAAUUACUGGGCGUAAAGCGCACGCAGGCGGUCUGCCAAGUCGGAUGUGAAAUCCCCGGGCUCAACCUGGGAACUGCAUUCGAAACUGGCAGGCUAGAGUCUUGUAGAGGGGGGUAGAAUUCCAGGUGUAGCGGUGAAAUGCGUAGAGAUCUGGAGGAAUACCGGUGGCGAAGGCGGCCCCCUGGACAAAGACUGACGCUCAGGUGCGAAAGCGUGGGGAGCAAACAGGAUUAGAUACCCGUGUAGUC